rnacentral:rRNA from 1 species
CCUACGGGCGGCAGCAGUGGGGAAUAUUGGACAAUGGGCGAAAGCCUGAUCCAGCCAUGCCGCGUGUGUGAAGAAGGCCUUCGGGUUGUAAAGCACUUUCAGUGGGGAAGAAAGCCUUGGGGCUAAUACCCUCGAGGAAGGACAUCACCCACAGAAGAAGCACCGGCUAACUCCGUGCCAGCAGCCGCGGUAAUGCGGAGGGUGCGAGCGUUAAUCGGAAUUACUGGGCGUAAAGCGCGCGUAGGCGGUCUGAUAAGCCGGUUGUGAAAGCCCCGGGCUCAACCUGGGAACGGCAUCCGGAACUGUCAGGCUAGAGUGCAGGAGAGGAAGGUAGAAUUCCCGGUGUAGCGGUGAAAUGCGUAGAGAUCGGGAGGAAUACCAGUGGCGAAGGCGGCCUUCUGGACUGACACUGACGCUGAGGUGCGAAAGCGUGGGUAGCAAACAGGAUUAGAUACCCGUGUAGUC